CGGGGUCAGGCUUGGGACCUGCGAGUAAAGCUUGAUAGAGGACGUGACCAGCGCGUCUCGGACGGGCGGCUACUCCGCCUGCAAACGUUACUCGUAAUUUCAUUAAUAUAUCGGAUCUUUCUAUCGGAAAAAUGCACCUAUCGGACCGAUAAAAAAUGACGUAAUUUCCCCCCAAAUCGGCCGAUAUUUUAUCGGUCCGAUAGAUAUCGUGCAUCCCUAAUAUAUAUACACACACAUAUAUAUAUAUAUACACAUAUAUAUUUAUAUGUUUCAGGUUAAUGAUUAUAGGGAUGAUUGAGGGAACAGGGUUUGCUUUAUUUGCAAGAGCAGCCUUGUUUGGUGUGAAAGCAUUGACUAACAAAGGAAAAUUCUCAAAAGACUGCUGCCAUUAUUUCUUAUUGCAAUAAUUUUAAGGAGCUCACUAGUGCAAUAGGAAUGGCAUUUGCUUGACGGCAUUUCUCACCACUGGUGUACACUAAUGGGUUCGGGUAUUACCACCACGACAGGCACUGACCGCCUUAGAGGGGGCUGUUCCUCCCAGUCAUGCCCCUCCAGGUCUCACUUUCACUUCCAACAUGGCUGCUGAAGUCCCCCAGCAGGACGAGGGAGUCCAGAGACUAGGGGUACUUGUUUAUAAAGCUCUUAAUGGUCUGGCACCCUCCUACCUAGUUGACUGUCUACCCAGAUAUGUCCCAAACCGC